rnacentral:rRNA from 1 species
AACGAACGCUGGCGGCGUGGAUUAGGCAUGCAAGUCGAGCGAGAAAGGGGUAGCAAUACCCCGAGUACAGCGGCGAACGGGUGAGUAACAGGUGGAUAACGUGCCCCAAAGUGGGGGGAUAACUCCGAGAAAUCGGAGCUAAUACCGCAUAAGGCCAUUUGGACCCCGGUUUGAAUGGUUAAAGGCUUCGGCCGCUUUGGGAUCGGUCCGCCCCCGAUUAGCUAGUUGGUGAGGUAACGGCUCACCAAGGCNCCGAUCGGUAGCUGGUCUGAGAGGAUGGUCAGCCACACUGGGACUGAGAUACGGCCCAGACUCCUACGGGGGGCAGCAGUCUAGAGGCGUUCGGCAAUGGGGGCAACCCUG